AUUGAACGCUGGCGGCAUGCCUAACACAUGCAAGUCGAACGAGAAGCGGACUGGUGUGUAAGGUCUGGGAAACUGCCUGACGGACCGGUAUAACUAGGGGAAACCUUAGCUACCGCUGCAUACGACCCUUUCUGCCCAGAGUGGAUUAGCUUGUUGGUGGGGUAACGGCUCACCAAGGCGACGAUCCAUAGCCGGUCUGAGAGGAUGACCAGCCACACUGGAAAUGAGACACGGCCCAGACUCCUACGGGAGGCAGCAGUAGGGAAUAUUGGGCAAUGGGCGAAAGUCUGAUCGAGCAACGCCGCGUGAAUGAAGAAGGUUUUCGGGUUGUAAAGCUCUGUUGGCGGAGAAGCGGUACCUACCGAGAAAGCACCGGCUAACUACGUGCCAGCAGCCGCGGUAAUAC
rnacentral:rRNA from 1 species